CUAAAUUGAAGUACGGCGGCGUCAGGAUCUCACUCCUGGAUAGCCGGAUGAUCAACAGAAGACCGACAAUGACUGCCGGAUAUAUAUAACAUGAGGGAAAUAAAUUGAUAUAGGAUGAAUAAUUUUUAUAUUUUAUUAGUAGGAAUAGAAUAGAAUAUACCUUUUCAACAAAUAUACAGACCGGACAGUUAUCGCA